rnacentral:tRNA from 2 species
GGCGAAGUCAGCCAAUUAGGCUUUCGGGCCCAUACCCCGAACACGAUGGUUAGAAUCCCUCCUCCGCCA